rnacentral:tRNA from 1 species
ACUUUUUAAGUACUAUAAGGUAUAUUUGAUUUCCAAUCAAAAGGUUUAAAAAAUUAAAUUAAAAAAAGUA